CCCCGACAGACCUCAGUUUUCCCUAUCUCUUCCCUCCACGUCUCUUCCCACCGCCGAGUCGUCGUUCAGUGGAUUUGCUCCACUGCCGAGUCGCCGGCCACCUCCCACCACCACGUUUUCUGCUCCUAUCAUCAAGAUUCCGUGGAUCGAUUGAGCUCCAAAUUAAAGAACAUUGAAGUGAUCACCGCUCUCGGAGAUUCGGGCCACCGGAAUCCGGGUC
rnacentral:lncRNA from 1 species